AGAUGACAACAAAUAUCAGUCCUCUCCCAGCACAGAAGCAUUCCCAGUUCCCACAGCCCAGACAGCCCCAGAAAUCCUAUUAUUACCCUUCGCAUUCUUACCACGCUGUUCAAACUCCUUUGCUUUCCCACAGCACUUUGGCUGUGCUCCCAGCCACACUGGAUGUAUUUGUUUGUAGACAAGGCCCCACGAGUCCACUCUCAGCAAGAAACAUCAUGCAGAAUCCAAGCACAGAGUGAGGAUGCAGAAAAGAUCCCAGCUGCUUGAGAGCUGCCUUUUAAAGGGAGGAGCGGCGCCCGUUCUGGGAGAAGCUGCAGCAGGAGAGACCACACAGGUGAAGAGAUCAGUGCUUACACGCAGAAAGGUGUGGGCUCUCCUUCACAGCUGGCAGAGGUUCAAGAGCUCUUUGGAGAUCUUUGUUCUUGCUGCAGGCAAAUUGCAGCAGGCCCACUUCCAAGAUGGGGACAAGGAGGCUGAAAUGUGGUGCUCCCAAGGCCAAAUAGUUGAGAACUGCUGAGCGUAAUUCUGUGCUUCAAGUCUGCUCAGCAGAAGGAGGACCAUGCAGGGCUGGGAAUGGGGCUAAGCAAUGAUUUUGAGGAGGAUGUAUAGAAAGAAGGGAAACAGCUACCAGGCAACGUUGACAUAAGACCGAGUAAAAUCAGAGUGGAAGAUAACCAGUUUGCCACCAGCAGUGAGCUUCUGGAACAGACCUGGGAUAGCAGUAAUGGAGGCAAACAUACAAGGACAAAGAAACCUCAGCCAGUCUGUGUAGCUUUAAAAUGGAGCCUGAUAAACGUAUAGAGAUGGUUAUCUGGGACCCAUGGGAUCAGAGCUGCUGAUGAAGGAGGUCUCUCCAGCCUGGUGUUCCCUCUGACUUCUGUGAAAGCACCGUUCAGCCUACAGCUGCCAAGCUCCAUUUCGUUAAAGCUUUGGCUGCCAAACAGAGCUGGGGCACUGAAGUGGUGUCACGCAAAUUGCGUUGCAUUUGUCAGCUCCUGCUGUGUUCCUGGUGCCUUGGGAACUGAUGUCUUCAAUUCAUCCCUUCUACCUGAAGGAGUGCUCCCUUCCUUCCCGUGGCAGGGGCCGCACAAGCACGGUCCCACCUUAGCAAGGCCCUGGGACACUUUGCCGCAGCAUGCCGGCAGUCUCUUGCUCUGCUGGCACUCGGCCUGUCUCCUGCUGUCACACCCAACUACCCCAGUUCAUUUGGCUC
rnacentral:lncRNA from 1 species